rnacentral:rRNA from 1 species
GACGGGGGGGGCAAGUGUUCUUCGGAAUGACUGGGCGUAAAGGCACGUAGGCGGUGAAUCGGGUUGAAAGUGAAAGUCGCCAAAAAGUGGCGGAAUGCUCUCGAAACCAAUUCACUUGAGUGAGACAGAGGAGAGUGGAAUUUCGUGUGUAGGGGUGAAAUCCGUAGAUCUACGAAGGAACGCCAAGAGCGAAGGCAGCUCUCUGGGUCCCUACCGACGCUGGGUGCGAAAGCAUGGGGAGCGAACAGG